CCUCCAUCAUCAUCAUAUCCUCCAGAGGACACUAUGCUGACCGCAAGAGGUUCUUCGUCCAUUGUUAGUUUGACACUCAUAUAAUCUAUCCCAGCCAUAGUUGGGGCAUGCAAUCCCACUAGGCACAAUUCCAUCCUGAAGAAGAAGAUGUCACCAACUUCAAUCCCAGGUGCAUUUCCAAUCCUCUUUGUUUGGUUUGUCCGAACUCCCUUUGUCAUCAGCAUGCCAGCCAUAGUUGGCGCAUGCAAUCCCACUAGGCACAAUUCCAUCCGGAAGAAGAAGAUGUCACCAACUUCAAUCCCGGGUGCAUUUCCAAUCCUCUUUGUUUGGUUUGUCCGAACUCCCUUUGUCAUCAGCAUAUUAGAAGCUUUUAGGUCUGGUCUUCUACC
rnacentral:lncRNA from 1 species